UCGGGUUGUAAAGCACUUUUGUCCGGAAGAAAUCCUUGAUCCUAAUAUGGUCGGGGGAUGACGGUACCGGAAGAAUAAGCACCGGCAACUACGUGCCAGCAGCCGCGGUAAUACGUAGGGUGCGAGCGUUAAUCGGAAUUACUGGGCGUAAAGCGUGCGCAGGCGGUUCGCUAAGACCGAUGUGAAAUCCCCGGGCUUAACCUGGGAACUGCAUUGGUGACUGGCGAGCUAGAGUGUGGCAGAGGGGGGUAGAAUUCCACGUGUAGCAGUGAAAUGCGUAGAGAUGUGGAGGAAUACCGAUGGCGAAGGCAGCCCCCUGGGCUAACACUGACGCUCAUGCACGAAAGCGUGGGGAGCAAACAGGAUUAGAUACCCUGGUAGUCCACGCCCUAAACGAUGUCAACUAGUUGUUGGGGAUUCAUUUCCUUAGUAACGUAGCUAACGCGUGAAGUUGACCGCCUGGGGAGUACGGUCGCAAGAUUAAAACUCAAAGGAAUUGACGGGGACCCGCACAAGCGGUGGAUGAUGUGGAUUAAUUCGAUGCAACGCGAAAAACCUUACCUACCCUUGACAUGGACGGAAUCUUGCUG
rnacentral:rRNA from 1 species